rnacentral:lncRNA from 1 species
CUAAAGGCCAGCCUCAGUCAGAAGAGGGAAAGGUUCAACAAAGCAGAUAGUGAUAUCCAAAUUGAGCAAAACAAAAGGAGAAAGGUGGGAGAUGCUCCGAAAGGGUCUUUUAAGACCAUUGCGAACAAGAAGAAAGCGUUGGCCGAAGCCCAGUAUCGAGCCUGCAAGCGAGAGAUUGACUACCAAGGUCAAAUCAAAUCUCUAUAAGACCUAUUGGAGAAAUCGCAGAAGGAGUUGAAGGACGAGCAAGACCGCGCCAAGAAGCUAGAAAC